AUUACUACUUUCUUUUUUUUUUUUUUUUUCCUUCAGUGGAAAAUAUUCAAAGCACCGAGUUGCUCCGCUGAACGCUUCACCAGAAACAGCCCAAGAGAUCUGCAGAAGGAAACGGGGCAUCAGUUUCAAGUUGGUACCAGAACUACAUCAUCCUGCCACAGGUCCUUAACCCGACUCCAAAAGAAAAGGAAAUGACCAAAUGACCAGUGAGAAAGCGCUUUGUGGGCCCUUCGGACCGGGAGGAGCAUUUGCGGCGUCACCAGCGCUGAGGAUUUGUGACUGCGCCCGCGGCACGACGCGUGUCGCGGAC
rnacentral:lncRNA from 1 species